rnacentral:rRNA from 1 species
CAAUAGCGUAUAUUAAAAUUGUUGCGGUUAAAACGCUCGUAGUUGGAUAUCUGUGAGCGGGUUCCGGUCCUUCCCAGUGAAGAUUACACGGAACUCUGCUCGCAUUUGUUCAGGGAGGGUGGAUGCACUUCACUGUGUGACCACAUGAUCUGAAUUUUUACUUUGAGGAAAUGAGAGUGUUCCAAGCAGGCAAUUGCCGUGAAUAUGAUAGCAUGGAAUAAUAGCACAGGACUCUUGGUUCAAUGCUGUUGGUUUGUUGAACUAGAGUAAUCACAAUAAGGAUAGUUGGAGGUGCUAGUAUUGGCCGGCCAGAGGUGAAAUUCUUGGAUUCGGUCAAGACUAACUUAUGCGAAAGCAUUCACCAAGGAUGUCUUCUUUUAAUCAAGAACGAAAGUUGGGGGAUCGAAGAUGAUCAGAUACCG